rnacentral:sRNA from 1 species
UCGUCAAUCUGUUGCGGGCAAAUGAAAUGGAUAUGACUGUCAAAGCCGCCAGCGGUGACAAUGCGCCCCUCACCCGCGAUGACUUCGGUUCCCGGCCCCACAACGAUACUGAUGUUGGGUUGCGUAUCGGGAUUACCCGCCUUGCCAAUCGCCGCGAUACGUCCGCCACGCAGGCCAAUGUCGGCCUUGAAAAUGCCCGUGACGUCCACGAUCAGCGCGUUGGUGAUGACUGUAUCCACAGCCCCCUGAGCGCGCGAAAACUGGGACUGUCCCAUGCCAUCGCGG